GGCCGUUGCUCGUGGCUGCAGGUCGAGGAAUAUUCUAAUUUUUGCCUCGCAAUUACGCGGCGAUAUGGACACAUUUCGAAGGAAGGAGGAAUUGCACCUGGCACGGGAAGAGCCCGUCAUUCUUUUGUUUCCCUCGAGACUGACGAGUAUGUCAGAAAUGGGUCACUUGCUGCAAACAGUCCGAAAUCAAUGCCAAUUUUAAAACUCGCGGAGUGGCAUACUUGAAGGAG